AGGGCCCUAUACAAAAAGGCGCAGACUGACCUGGAAAAGCUUGGCCGGCCCGGCCAUUGGAGGUGGGGGGGAGAAAGGAAGACGAAGAAGCGGAGGCGAGGAGGGCUCGCUUACCGUGUUGCCUGCGCCCGGCCGCCGCCGCCGCCCACCAGCACGACGAGCAGGGGCGCCGAAGGCCGCCGCCGCUUCUCAUAGGCGCCCAAAAGCCCCACAAAAAAGUCCCCGCUCGCGAUCGGCGGAAGGACACAGGCGGUCGCUCUGCUUUCUACAUCAUACCUGUGUGAAUUAGGAUUUUAUGCACUAACAUUAAAUGCAAAAAAAGAGAAAGGCUCCAGUGCAUUGAAGAUGAAAUGAGGGUAUGUUUAUCUCGUAUACGUCCUGACGUUGAAAAGGUUGCCAAAAACCAUCAAGCUCAUGUCUCUCAUGACCAUGCUUAAUUUAUUAAAAUAAGUGAUAACAAAACAAUGGAGCAAUUUGAAGAUCUUUUGAAAGGAGGUGUAUUAUUAACUGUGGGCCAUCAAGGACACAAUCUGCAAACCCAUCUACUCAGGAUAUAGAGCUGGCCAACUUUGAAUGAAGCUGCUGCUGUGAGAAAACAUGUUCCAUUACUUGAUAUAACAAAACAACUUGAAGAUCAUGAAAAUACCUGAUAUAUUGUAUUAUAGAAGUUGUAGGGUCAGGUUCACCAAGAGAAGGCUAUUGGGUAGUCUAAAGUGGAAAGCAGAAGAGAGCUUGAGUGAUGGGACUGGAAACAGUGACUAUGUUCCAAAAAGGUUACAUAGAAGAGAGCCAAGAGGGGAAAACUUAUGAACCUGUCAUUGUUUUCUGUGAUGAGAAAUGAAAUAAAAAGUCUAUCAAGGUUGUACAGAUAUCAGCUGUCAGCUCUACACUGCAUCAGCAGUGUCGGGGGGCUGGAAAUUCCUGGGUCUUUGGCAGGGAAGGAAAGUCCUUAGCCAGCAGUCAGGUUGUAAAUCUGCCAGGCCUAUCUGAAGCGUACUUGCCGAGUCAGAAGUCCAGAAGCGAGGUCAGUGGAGGUCCGGGAUCAAUUGCCAAGGAGGUCAGUCAAAGAGAUGCUGCAGGGAAACUAGGUCUACACAAAGCCACGCCUGACGUUGCAGUCAGCAACAAGCUGCAGCCAAGGUGUGCCUUAUAAAGAGCAGGAUGGACAGCAGGUGUGAGCCCUCAGUGUUUGGGCCUUAAGGAGACAGGCCUGCCUCUCUUCUGCCUGACCUUCUGCUGUCUACGUUCUGCAGGUGAGGGGGGAGUAUCCUGUUCACUGUCUGUGUCUGGCUGCAGGGCCUCUGCUGUCCCUGGGGUGCUCUGCAGCUGAGGGGCAGAAGGAGCUGGAUUCUCAGGAGGCUCCUCCGUGUCUCCUGCUGCUCCUGGGUCUGCUGCUGUUACUCCUGAGUUGUCCUCAUCUGAGGAGUCCUCUGACGGGGCCAUGACAACAGCUGACCAAAAAAUACAUGAGUGCUUUUUAAUAUGUUCUUAAACCUUUUUAAAAAUGUUUUUAAUAUUAGAAGAUGUUUUGAAAGCUUUUUUUUAAGAAACAUUUUUAAACAUGUUUUAAUGUGUUAUAAAGUUUGUUUUUAUGAUACUUUAAA